AUGAACGCUGGCGGCAUGCCUAACACAUGCAAGUCGAACGAGAUCCUUCGGGGUCUAGUGGCGCACGGGUGCGUAACGCGUGGGAAUCUACCCUUGGGUUCGGAAUAACAGUGAGAAAUUACUGCUAAUACCGGAUGAUGACGUAAGUCCAAAGAUUUAUCGCCCAGGGAUGAGCCCGCGUAAGAUUAGCUAGUUGGUGGGUAAAGGCCUACCAAGGCGACGAUCUUUAGCUGGUCGAGAGGAUGAUCAGCCACACUGGGACUGAGACACGGCCCAGACUCCUACGGGAGGCAGCAGUGGGGAAUAUUGGACAAUGGGCGCAAGCCUGAUCCAGCAAUGCCGCGUGAGUGAUGAAGGCCUUAGGGUUGUAAAA
rnacentral:rRNA from 1 species